rnacentral:misc_RNA from 1 species
ACGAAGUACCGGCCCUCUCGUAGGGCUUAACUUCCACCCUUUGUUAACUACACUUUGUUGCUUUGGCGAGACGCCUUUACCGGCCACCGGCUUCGGCGGGUGCGCGCUCGCCAGAGACCCCCAAACCCAAACCAUUUUAACUGUCGUCUGAAAACAAGUUUAAAUUAUUA